rnacentral:rRNA from 1 species
AAAUUGAAGAGUUUGAUCAUGGCUCAGAUUGAACGCUGGCGGCAGGCUUAACACAUGCAAGUCGAACGGUAACAGGAAGCAGCUUGCUGCUUUGCUGACGAGUGGCGGACGGGUGAGUAAUGUCUGGGAAACUGCCUGAUGGAGGGGGAUAACUACUGGAAACGGUGGCUAAUACCGCAUAACGUCGCAAGACCAAAGAGGGGGACCUUCGGGC